GAUAGAUGCUGGCGGGAUCGCCGUCGCUCGGCCGCUCCUGGCGCAGCCGGACGACGUUGCGCGCGGCGGCGGGGGCGAUCGUCGCUCCGUCCAUCACCA
rnacentral:tRNA from 1 species